GUGGUGAUAUUCAAACAGAAGAGAUUUCAUCAAAGAUUGAAUUUGGCGGCCCUUUCCGACAUGUCUCUCAAAAGUUCCUUCCGGGGCAGCGCUAAUGGCACGUUGAUCGUUAUGGACCAACACGUUUCGUAAAAACAACUCCAAAGAAGUAAAUGUAGUAAAAAGAGAAGGUUGGGAUGAAUGGGAUGACCCUUGAUGAGAUGACGAUUUUUUAGUUAAAAGGGAAG